CUCCAAGCACCUCCAUAGCACCUCCCUCGGGACCUUGUCAUACGCCUUCUCCAAGUCGAUAAGCACCAUAUGAAGGUCCUUCUUCUUAUCCCUGAAUUUUUCCGCCAGCCGCCUGAUCAUAUGUAUAAAGUUCUUAAAAAGGUUUCAAUAAGUUUGUAACUUAAUUUCAAGACAUGCGUUUCUAUGACUAAUUGUAGAUUAUAUUUC
rnacentral:lncRNA from 1 species